UCUUUAUAUCUGUGAGCUCCAUGUUGUUGUCAAAGUCUAGAGGAAGCUCAUUGUUUUCCAAACCAUCAAGGAUAAAAGCCACUUUUUUCUUUUCAACUCCUGCUACAUCAUGGAAAAUACUUUUGAGCAAACUAUCCAAGCUCAGAGCUUCUUUUCGUUUACUCAGCUUACUAAACCGAAGUGGGACUAUGAUGUCAACAUCCUUGUUGGACUUUCCUUUGGCCCAGUCAAACAUGAACAAUUUAGUUUGAAAUGUUUUGCCAAUACCAGCAACACCCUUUGUCAGAACUGUUCGCACAGUCUUUUUCUUUAAGUCUGUAAAUAUUUCGUUGUAGGUCUUCACCAGUUUUUCUUCAUCUUCGUUGUUUGUGUCUAUCAUGGAGAGUUCUGAAUCUGUCUCCGUUUCAAUCAGUUCCAUCUCAUAUGCGGCUAAGAUCCCGUUUUUCCCGAUCUCUCAGGAAUCUUUUUAACUCCUGAGGGCUGAGAGAUGAUCCAGAGCACAGCUUGAGGAAACAGGUUUCCCUUGAUAAGGUAGAAACUUGAGGCCGUUCUGCAUCAUUGAGAAAAUUAUCGAGCAGAUCCUGGAUGCUUUGAACUUCACCUCUUGUUGCAUUCAGCUCACCAAAAUGAAGCGGAACAAUCAGGUCGAUGUGCAUGUUGGAUUUUCGCUUUGCCCAGUCGACCAUCAACCUCCUUGUAUGAAAUGUUUUACCAAUACCAGCAACUCCCUGAGUUAGCACUAUUCUCCCAUUCCUCUUUGACAUAAUAAAUAAAUCACUGUAGGUUUC